GUCCAAUUAGGGUAGUGGACUAUCCUACGGGCUUGCGGAGCCUGUGACCGGGGUUCGAAUCCCCGAUUGGACG
rnacentral:tRNA from 1 species